ensembl:lncRNA
AGCGGACUGUGUACAAAAUUACAAGAGCAGAAACUCCUCGCCAGCAGACUGCUUGGCUUAAAAACCAGGUACGGUAAUUAGAUAAGAAGGCACUGAAAGGGGAAUAAAUCAAUGUUCGUGAAAAAAAUAAACAAACACCAGGGGAGACAGACCACGGAGCAAGCGGGAUGAAGAGAGCAGUCGUUUCUUUAGCUGCUCUGGGGACUGGCGGUUUUCCAGCUCCCACCCAUGACUGCGUGGACCGGCUCAGCUGCAGGGAACAGGAACUCUGCAUUAGUGGCUUCGCCCAAAGGGAGUCUGGAGUCUUGACACGAGAAGUCUGCAGGCAGCCGAGGCCUGCGGCAGAGAUCUACCACACUGAGAACUCAUCCAGCGCUUCUUGCUUUCUCCUGCACCAACCUUGACAAGUAGCUUUUGAUCCCCAUGCCGUGACCACCAAUAUCGUAUUUACUUUUAUGCCAGGAGAAAAAGAAAAUGCUAAUAACUGUAGAACCAUGACUCCAACCAAGCAUCAAAUCACAAGACUCAUGACCAUCUCAGCAUUGGAACAAAGUGAUCGGCUCCAGAAACCAUACCGCAUGACCAAGGGCUGGAGGAAGCGGCAUUCUCCUCAAGGAAGAGAGCAUUAAUGGUGACUGACAAUCUUCCAGUGUGUUAAGCGAUUCUGUGGAAGAUGGCAUCAUGACCUUUCCUGCUAUUCUGCUACGACUAACAUAUUAAAUCCUUGGUGAAUUCACUCAUCAAUGUUGAAAUCCGAAACGUGACUUAUGGCCGACUGAGACUCAACAUUUAAGUCUUAAGAGGAACUUCACAUUAUUUUUCUGAGGAAAGACAAAGAGGCCACUCUGUGACACUCCACCUUCCCCACUUAAUCCCUGUUGGCCAGGAAGCCCUUCUGGCUCAUCUGGAUGCUUACAGGCUCGCUCUACCACAGACGAAGUGCUCACAUCCUCUCUGAGCUGGACCCCAGAAAAGAAAUAGAAAAUGUCGUCAACAUCAGGAACAGGAGCGGCAGCGGCUGGAGUGGCAGCGGUCCCCCUCAUCUCUAUCCCCACAGUUGCUGCCCCAUCCCCGGGGGCGGAAGGAGGGGGCAGUGGCGGCGGCGGCGGCGGCGGCUGUGGACAAACAGAAACAGGUCACAUGCAGGUAUUUUAUGCAUGGGGCUGGUAAAGAAGAUUACUGUUGAUACUCUCAUGACCUCUCUGACAGUCCAGUGUGCAAGUAUUUUCAAAGAGGGUACUGUGUUAAUGGACACAGCUGCAGAUACGAACACAGCAAGCCACUGGAACAGGAAGAAGUGACCGCUACAUACAGUUCUGAGUGCACAACCAUAGCUUGAUGCUUCCUCAAGUCUCUCUUCUGGUGUUGGAUCACUAGCUAAAAUGAAUCCAGGUGAAGCUGAGUCACGAAACCCAAACUUUCUAACUGUAGGAGCAGGUUCAGAGGACUGGGUGAAUGCCAUUGAGUUUAGCCCUGGGCAGCCCUACUGUGGCCAUACUGCCCCUUCCUGCACUGAAAUACCCCCGCAGGAUUCAGUGACCAAGGAAGAGUCAGAGAAGGAGUCAACUAUGGUGGAGAUAAAGAAGCAGCACCUUUCCCCCAAGAGUGUGUUGCUGUCUCUGUUUCAAAAGUUACAAAAAUAAAUCUUAAAGUUGAGAGAGAGAGAGAGAGAGA